rnacentral:lncRNA from 1 species
CAGGAGGCGCAAGUUCAAUGAAGACAAGGAUAUUGACUCGAUCAACGACCGGAAUGAGCACUUCAACAAGAAGAUUGAGCGUGCCUUUGGCAAGUACACGCUCGAGAUCAAGAACAACCUGGAAAGAGGUACUGCCUUGCCAGACUAAAACCUUACACAGCAGCUCGGGUUCAAGAACAGCAUGGAAAGAGGUACUGGCUUGUCAGACUAAAACCAUACACAGCAGCUAUCUUAUGGCAUUCAAGCUAACUACUCGACUAGAGGCGAGUGUCCCUGGUGGUGUUUUCCUUUUCACAUGGUUACUUCUUGUAUGCUUGUAACUUUUGGCCACAGUUCCAUUGUGACUUGUAAGAAACCUGAAAUGGGU